ensembl:lncRNA
UGCAGAUGGGGAAUCAGUGAACUUUUAUUGUUACAGAGACAACCUCUCAACACAGCUCACAUCAGGAGAUUCCGAAGAUUUGCUGUGAGGAUGGGUAUAUAUUCUCUAAAACUUACAGGAGGGGGUUGUGAGGAAAGUGCUGCAUUAGCAGAAAAACAACUCCAUAAAAGGAAAUCGGCCUUGGGUGUUCUAGUCUCUUCGCUUGCAGAUAUCUUGCACCUGCAGGAUGAGGCGAUCGCUUCUUAUCGCUCUCAAGGCCAAAGUCGUGAGCACAUUUUUAUUACGCAGUUGCACAGUAACUUUAAAGCUGAACAAUAUUUAAAGCUGAAUAAUGUUUGAUCAGAUUAUAUUUUCUUCAAAUCCCCCUUUUGACCCAUCUUAAAUGGGUCAACACACAAACAUAAGUAACAUUCAAAGGAACACAGAGACGUGUCGAAGCCUGGCUCGAAAAACUCCUCGGGUCUUAUCAUUUGUCUUUAUCUGUCAUUGCAGAUGAGGAGAAAAGAGUCCAGGCACCACCCUGCCCAGGGGUCGGCUGCAAGCAGUCUCGGUUCCCGACGAAAGCAGUAACAGCUGUCCUGCACACAAGGAUACAACGAGUUAGUGCAACCAGGGUAGUGACACAAAAUUAACAGUUCCUGUAACUCAGCAACCAAAAAGCAUAAGUAAUGAUAAAAAUGUGGAGAGUACAGAGUAUACUAUAAUAAUGAGAGAUAUAAACGUGAAAAUGUGAAAGAAUAAAUCAACCGUAAAAUAAACUCAGAACGGUAACUGCUAAGGACAUUCAAAAGUGAAUAUGUUAAAAAGUGAGGAAGGGGUGUGGAAUAAAACAAUUUAUAUCCAGUGGUGGGAGUACACAUUCGCUCAGGCUUAAGUCCGGAGACCCUGAGAACAUCGCUUAACCCUCACAACCCGACCAGACACAGUUCAACCAGAUAUAUCCUUCAAGAGGAAGUGGGUGAGGGAAACAAUUAAUAACAAGCCUAAUACAAAACACCACAGAGAAACAACCAUUCUAGAAGAAUUUAAACAAGAGAAAGACGAUA